GAUGAACGCUGGCGGCGUGCUUAAUACAUGCAAGUCGAACGAAGACAGUAGCAAUAUUGUCUGAGUGGCGUACGGGUGAGUAACGCGGUGGUGACCUGCCCCGAAGAGAGGGAUAACAGUCCGAAAGGAUUGCUAAUACCCCAUGUGGUUCUUUGGAUUAGAUGCCUUAUUACUUAACGUAUUUAUUAGCUUCGGGAGGGACCUGCGUCCCAUCAGCUAGUUGGUAGGGUAACGGCCUACCAAGGCUAUCACGGGUAGGGGACCUGAGAGGGUGGCCCCCCACAAUGGAACUGAAACACGGUCCAUACACCUACGGGUGGCAGCAGUAGGGAAUAUUGGUUAAUCUGCGAAAGCGGGAACCAGCAACGCCGCGUGCACGAAGAAGGCCUUCGGGUUGUAAAGUGCUUUUUGAAAGGAUGAGGAAGGACAGUACUUUCAGAAUAAGCUUCGGCUAACUACGUGCCAGCCGCCGCAGUAACAC
rnacentral:rRNA from 1 species